UACAGAGGUCUCAAGCGUUGUUCGGAUUCAUUGGGCGUAAAGGGUGCGUAGGCGGCGCGGUAAGUCGGGUGUGAAAUCUCGGGGCUUAACUCCGAAACUGCAUUCGAUACUGCCGUGCUUGAGGACUGGAGAGGAGACUGGAAUUUACGGUGUAGCGGUGAAAUGCGUAGAUAUCGUAAGGAAGACCAGUGGCGAAGGCGGGUCUCUGGACAGUUCCUGACACUGGAGGCAACGAAGGCCCAGGGGAGCAAACGGG
rnacentral:rRNA from 1 species